ACAUAUGAAGUGAAUAGAAGAGUGACGUAUACGUGCAUCUUAAAUGUUUUGUUUAUUCUGUGAAAUCAAGGGACAACAUAACGGAGCAUGAACAUUUCCAAAGGAAUCUAAGCAUCACUAAAUCACUAUCAAUGCAGUCUGAAAUCCUUAAAAUGUUUCGAGUUACACAUGUGCAGUUACUCAAGUUUCAUAGGACAAAUAUAACACAUAAUAUACAUGGUUUAUGUAUACUCUGAUACAUUUCUCUAUCGGGUUAAUAUCGGUCUUAUCUACAGGCAAGCGUUAAAAGCAGGCCAAAAAGGAAUGCAAUCAACUUGAGUUUUAUCUGACGUAUACCCAAAAUUAUGACAGUAACUUAAAAAGAAUCUGUUUAAUUAUUUAAAAAAAAAGACCAAAUGUGGAUAAUAAAACCGGAUAUGAAAACAUGAAAUGAAUUUACAGGUAUUACAACAAAUAAAAUAUACAAACUAUUGCACAAUGGAGGUAUAGAGGACAAAUACAGCAUUAACAGGAGUGCUAACAAAAUGUUUGCGAAGUUUGUCCAGUUUGAAUGGUUUUGUUAUUUUUUUGUAACAGUAAAAGGCAGAAAAGCCAAGACCAAAGACCCCUGCACACAAAAUAACCCCACUCCCAGCCUACAUUACGGCAUAAAACCCUUGAUAUGCCAGGAAUAGAAGUUAUCUGUGUCUGGGACACAACAGCUUUCGAUUCCAGUCCUGAAGACAAUCAGUUUUGUUAAAACGCUCAACUGACUAAAGAUUAGUGUAGUACUGGAAUGACAAAUCGCUUCAAAAACAACUGCCAUGAGUUUCAUUGUGAGCUAGGCUCCAUCUAAUACAUUUUACAUAUUUUAAAUAAGACAAAGUAACACUGUUUAGUGUGACACUAACAUGACCAAAAAGUGUCAAGCAGCUAUUUGCGGUCAAAACAACACAAGCUGAUUGGAAGUAAAGAAAGAGGAACAAACAAAAACAAAAAAA